rnacentral:rRNA from 1 species
UAAUUCCUACGGGACGCAGCAGUCGGGAAUAUUGCGCAAUGGAGGAAACUCUGACGCAGUGACGCCACGUAUAGGAAGAAGGUUUUCGGAUUGUAAACUAUUGUCGUGAGGGAAGAAAUUGACAGUACCUCAGGAGGAAGCUCCGGCUAACUAUGUGCCAGCAGCCGCGGUAAUACAUAGGGAGCAAGCGUUAUCCGGAUUUAUUGGGUUUAAAGGGUGCGUAGGCGGAAGGUUAAGUCAGCGGUCAAAUGUCGGUGCUCAACACCGGCCUGCCGUUGAAACUGGUCUUCUUGAGUGAGCGAGAA